UACAGAGGUGGCAAGCGUUGUUCGGAAUUACUGGGCGUAAAGGGCGCGUAGGCGGUUCGUUAAGUCCUGUGUGAAAUCCCCCGGCUCAACUGGGGAACUGCACAGGAAACUAGCGGGCUUGAGUUCGGGAGAGGGAAGCGGAAUUCCGGGUGUAGCGGUGAAAUGCGUAGAUAUCUGGAGGAACACCGGUGGCGAAGGCGGCGUUCUGGACUGCAACUGACACUGAGGCGCGAAAGCUAGGGGAGCAAACAGG
rnacentral:rRNA from 1 species